UAACACGUAGGGGGCAAGCGUUGUCCGGAUUUAUUGGGCGUAAAGAGCUCGUAGGCGGCUCAGUAAGUCGGGUGUCAAAUCCUCAGGCUCAACCUGGGGCUCCACCCGAUACUGCUGUGGCUAGAGUCCGGUAGGGGAGCGUGGAAUUCCUGGUGUAGCGGUGAAAUGCGCAGAUAUCAGGAGGAACACCAGCGGCGAAGGCGGCGCUCUGGGCCGGAACUGACGCUGAGGAGCGAAAGCGUGGGUAGCAAACAGGAUUAGAUACCCUGGUAGUCCACGCCGUAAACGUUGGGCACUAGGUGUGGGGUCUUUUCAACGGACUCCGUGCCGUCGCUAACGCAUUAAGUGCCCCGCCUGGGGAGUACGGCCGCAAGGCUAAAACUCAAAUGAAUUGACGG
rnacentral:rRNA from 1 species